rnacentral:rRNA from 1 species
CGGGUGAGUAACGCGUGGAAAACCUGCCGUAUACUGGGGGAUAACACUUAGAAAUAGGUGCUGAUACCGCAUAAGCGCACAGCUUCGCAUGAAGCAGUGUGAAAAACUCUGGUGGUAUACGAUGGUUCCGCGUCUGAUUAGCUAGUUGGUGGGGUAAUGGCCUACCAAGGCAACGAUCAGUAGCCGGCCUGAGAGGGUGAACGGCCACAUUGGGACUGAGACACGGCCCCAACUCCUACGGAAGGCAGCAG